GUUUGCAUGACCCUCUUCAUCAAUGCUUUACUCAUCAGAUCCUUCUCUUCAGACUUCAUCACAACUCCAAGCUUCUGCAACAUGGGCCAUAGCUUGUCCUUCUGAUCGUUCAUGCAAGUUGCAAUGAUCUGCUUGAUGGGUUCGUAGCAGAACUGGACAAACCCACGCUUGCAUGUUGGAGAGCCAGUGUUCUUGCUCGUCCACUUCUUGGUUGCAGGAUCAAAGAAGUUCUCACCCCAAAGUCUCUCCAUCAUCUUUGACUCGUCUACUCCAAACUUGGAGGCAUACAUCUUCGCAAAGUUAGUCAGGGUAAACGCCCAACCGUGCAGACCAGCAGAGAAAGCGACUGUUCCUUUCUCGGGGUACACUUGAACAUCCCCAAGAAGUGGAUCCUCGUAUGUGGCCAUAAUCACAUUGGCAUUCUCUAUCACCCUCUGAAAUGUUUGAUAAGCCUCUUCUCCAUCCACUUGGAGUUCAAGGAAGCACCUGUCCAUCUUG
rnacentral:misc_RNA from 1 species